rnacentral:lncRNA from 1 species
UGAGGAUGCGUUUGCUCCGUGUAGAAAACUCGUACGAUGAUGAAGUUCAUAUAACCGAACCUAAACUUACAGAAAUUCAAUAGCAUUUGUAUCAUGACUCAUGUUCGUAUGAAAUUAUUCAGCAAGCAUUAAGAAGAAUUAAAAUAGAAAUCAGUCAGAUCUCAUAUGUCAAACUAACUGUAUGUAAAUAAUUAGAAAUCUUUACAAGUGUAAACAAAAUUAAACUAUUGAUUGUUGUAGUGCAUGGGGUGGUCGGUUGGCUUGUAUUGGAAAAGGGGGUGGUCCAUCAAGAGAAAACAAGAUGAGUUGGCAAGAGGUAUAAUGAGAAUUGAUCGGAAAGGCUUGGGAGUCGAUCGGCAUGGUUGGUAGGCCGACCAGGUGAACUAGGAGGAAGUGUGAGUGUAAAGUAAAGGUAUAUUUGGAUUGGUGAGACGAAUUCCGCGGGCACUCAACAGCGGUUACAAUUAGGGGACAAAUCUUGUGAGAUUAUGGAUCAGUGGUUAUAGGUAGUUAAUGCUCAUUACUUGAGUCUGAUGCCUAUAAAUACAGAAAUGUUAGUCAGAUAUUUGACUUUUGAUCUAAUUGCAUUUUACACUGAUUCCACGGUGACUUUGCUAACUUGAGCGUCGGAGUGCUAAUGCGCAGG